UACGUAGGGGGCGAGCGUUGUCCGGAUUCAUUGGGCGUAAAGAGCUCGUAGGCGGCUUGGCAAGUCGGGUGUGAAAACUUCAGGCUCAACCUGGAGCGGCCACUCGAUACUGCCAUGGCUUGAGUCCGGUAGGGGACCGGAAUUCCUGGUGUAGCGGUGAAAUGCGCAGAUAUCAGGAGGAACACCGGUGGCGAAGGCGGUGGUCUGGGCCGGUACUGACGCUGAACAGCGAAAGCCAGGGGAGCAAACGGG
rnacentral:rRNA from 1 species